GAUUUUGACGCCCGUUCUCCUUCUUUAUCGCAUCUUUGUCCCAUCCAUUCCCUCGUCAUAACCAAUCGGAUUUUCUACUAUUAGGGUUUUGUAGUUCCUGGUAAAGAGGCUUUUAAUCUAUUGUAUUAUAUUGUAGAAGUAACAGAUCUUCCCUCAUCGUCAACAAUCUUCUGCAUCAAUGUUAUCGUUGUGUUAGGCAUUUGAAUUGACUUCAUCCCUUUUUGAAGGAAACAAGGAAGGGAGCCAAUGGUGGUUGGACUUGGUCGCCUUCUUUUUUUAUAGUGUUGGAAGCGUCAGUUGAGUAACUAGGUUCUUUUCUGGUUUCCUAUACUCUGCUUUAGCAGAGAAGACCUUGCAGGUUUCAAUCGAAAGGAGAGGAAGCAUAUAUUUGAUAAAUGGCUUCUUUUUAGCUUAAGGUUUGUCCAUGAACAUUCUAAGCGAGAAUGUUAGUGUGGUUUUCAUAAAAACGAGAAUGUUUUUAUUCGAUUUUAGUGUUUCGUU